UACACAUGCAAGUCGACGCGAAAGCCCCGCAAGGGGUAAGUAGAGUGGCAGACGGGUGAGUAACGCGUGGGUGACCUGCCGUCGAGUGGGGGAUAACGUCCCGAAAGGGACGCUAAUACCGCAUGACAUCUCGCCUUUGAAGAGGUGACGAUCAAAGCCGGGGUCGCAAGACCUGGCGCUUGACGAGGGGCCCGCGUCCGAUUAGCUCGUUGGUGGGGUAACGGCUCACCAAGGCGACGAUCGGUAGCCGGCCUAAGAGGGCGGACGGCCACACUGGGACUGAGACACGGCCCAGACUCCUACGGGAGGCAGCAGUGGGGAAUUGUUCGCAAUGGGCGCAAGCCUGACGACGCAACGCCGCGUGGAGGAUGAAGAUCUUCGGGUCGUAAACUCCUGUCGAGCGGGACGAACGAUCCGCGACCGAAGACGUCGCGGGAGUGACGGUACCGCUAAAGGAAGCCCCGGCUAACUCCGUGCCAGCAGCCGCGGUAAUACGGGGGGGGCGAGCGUUGUUCGGAAUUACUGGGCGUAAAGGGCUCGUAGGCGGCCAACUAAGUCAGACGUGAAAUCCCUCGGCUUAACCGAGGAACUGCGUCUGGGACUGGAUGGCUUGAGAUCGGGAGAGGGAUGCGGAAUUCCAGGUGUAGCGGUGAAAUGCGUAGAUAUCUGGAGGAACACCGGUGGCGAAAGCGGCAUCCUGGGCCGACACUGACGCUGAGGAGCGAAAGCCAGGGGAGCAAACGGGA
rnacentral:rRNA from 1 species